GAUGAACGCUAGCGAUAGGCUUAACACAUGCAAGUCGAGGGGCAGCAUGGUCUUAGCUUGCUAAGACUGAUGGCGACCGGCGCACGGGUGCGUAACGCGUAUGCAACUUGCCUCACAGAGGGGGAUAACCCGUCGAAAGACGGACUAAUACCGCGUACACUCCAUCUUGGGCAUCCAAGGUAGAGGAAAUGAAAUUCGCUGUGAGAUAGGCAUGCGUCCCAUUAGCUAGUUGGUGAGGUAACGGCUCACCAAGGCGACGAUGGGUAGGGGAACUGAGAGGUUGAACCCCCACACUGGUACUGAGACACGGACCAGACUCCUACGGGAGGCAGCAGUGAGGAAUAUUGGUCAAUGGGCGAGAGCCUGAACCAGCCAAGUCGCGUGAAGGAUGACUGUCUUAUGGAUUGUAAACUUCUUUUAUACGGGAAUAACAAGAGUCACGUGUGACUCCCUGCAUGUACCGUAUGAAUAAGCAUCGGCUAACUCCGAG
rnacentral:rRNA from 1 species